UUUAAAAAUCCAGUUAUAUGGAGAAACAAGAUCAAUUUAUUGUCAAAAGACAGAAUUAUUCCUCUUUUGCAUCAACCAGGCUUGACAUAACUGUAAUCUCAUGGAAAUGUCUGCUACUGUAAUCAAGAAUUUGCAUGUAGAAGGAAUGCAUCACAGAAUAUAUGACAUCUUGCUAUGUCUACUGUACUAAAGAAUUAAAGAGGUUUGAAAAUAAAUACUGAAACAAAUCAGAAAGGAACCUCAAUUUUAUUAAACUAAAAUAUCAUAGCUAGGAACAUCUCAAAUUGAGAAUAAAGUUUAUAUAAUAUUUCAGAGUCAUAUGAAUGUCAUAAAAUAAUAAAAAUGUACCAUAUAAUUAUUUAAAAAGCACAAGUCUAUAAAUUGGAAACAAUGACCAGCUAAGAGAUGACAGGUAGGCUGAAACUCAACCUAUUUCCAAACCACUAAAGAAGACAUAAAUCAACUUAAAGGGAAAAUUACAUUUGUAGGUUUAUAAACAUAUUUUUAAAAACCACUCCUAUAAAGCAAAAGAUAUAAAAAGAAAACUUGAGAAAUGAUAAAAGGAUAAAGGAUAAAAAAUUAACAAAGCUAUAUGUUAGGCCACUUUGGUUCAUGCAAUUUUCUUUUGUUUCUCUCUAAAAUGGUAUAUCAAUUUUUAUUUUUCACAAACUUCUUUCAAUUAAGAAAGAAAAUACAUUUGCACAGGAAAAAGCAGUUUUUCAUCAACUUUUUCUAGUCAGUGAACAAAAGGCUGAGAAGAAAUCUUUUUUUUAAAAAAUGGUUACAUUAUAGUAUAAUGUAUAGAUUAUAUAAAUCAUGCAUUAUCUUACAGACAUAUAUAAGAAUGUAUAGGGAUAAAAUGUAUAAAAUAGAAGAACCAAAUGCUUGCAACAGAAAAUAAAAGUGUAAAGUUUAGUUCUUUUUCUGUACUAUAAAAAAACCAGCCAUCCUGAAGGCCUGUGCCAUUCUUAGGCCACUUUCAGGCAGAUUCUGAAAAGCUGGAAAGUAAACACAGGUGUUUUAAAACUAGAGCUGCUGUCACGGACAACCACAAACACCCUUAACUCUGAUGUGGCAACGCCUCUUUCCCGCCCUCUGUUUUUUAAAGCAAUACCCGAAAAGAAAAUGUCAAAUGUUUCACCUUUCAACACCUCAGAAUAAGUAAGAGCUUAAAGUGUUGUUCUGUAAUCUCUAGCAAAUAGAUCACUUUUUCACUACUUUUAAAUGUAGCCAAUUAAAUAUUAAUUACAUAAGAUAAAAAGUGGAAUUUCUUUAAAAAUUUCCACCACCCCAACCUUACACACCCUCCCUCUUCCACCAUAUUUUACAGCAGUUUCUUUAGUUCUUAAAGCAAAAUCUUUUGUUUGACCACAUUUAGAUUAUUUCUUCUAUCGUAUAGUUUUUACAGAAAAUAUCUGAUUUUUUCUUGGAAAGUUUAACGUACAACUCAGAAAAAUGCAGAGCUUUAACUGAAAUAUGUAAUUCUCUUUUAGAAAACUGUAUCCUAAUAGGUACCUAAGUAGGAGUAGAAAUCAUUUACAGAGAAAAAUAGAAGACAGAAAGUAAAAUAAUUCCCAAACUGCUACAAAACAUGGAACUCAGGUUUUGGAAUCAAUUCAUAUAUGGAAUCAAUUUUCAAACACUGAAAUAUCAAUCUAUUACUUAUAAUUGUAUAAAAUUGCCCUUAAAAAACAGGGAUAAAAUUCAUUAGGAAUUGAUAAGUUACAACCUAACUAGUAAAUAUAAGAACUAAAGAAAAAUUAAUUCUUUAUAUUUCACCAUAUACAUCAAGAAACAGGUACUGUUAAGGGAAUGGCCAAGUAAGUAUCAAUCAGUUCCCAAAUUAAUCUUGGAGGUUAUUUUGAGAGGUUUAGUCCUACCCUCAGAAUUUCACAAAUAAUUCCUUUGUGCAAUCCAUGUAAGAAAUGUUCUCUGAAAUCACACUUGUUUGUAUAUUUGAUAAUUUUUUUUAAAAAACUGGUAGUUUCUUUGUGCUGUAAGCUUUAAAUAAAGAGAUGUCUGCCUUUUUAAAUAAUAAAAUAAAAAUUAAUGAAUAGGAAUAAAAAUAAAA
rnacentral:lncRNA from 1 species